rnacentral:rRNA from 1 species
UACAGAGGGGGCAAGCGUUGUUCGGAAUUACUGGGCGUAAAGGGCGCGUAGGCGGCCUGCUAAGUCGAACGUGAAAUCCCCGAGCUCAACUCGGGAACUGCGUCCGAUACUGGCAGGCUUGAAUCCGGGAGAGGGAUGCGGAAUUCCAGGUGUAGCGGUGAAAUGCGUAGAUAUCUGGAGGAAUACCGGUGGCGAAGGCGGCAUCCUGGACCGGCAUUGACGCUGAGGAGCGAAAGCUAGGGGAGCAAACGGG